AUUGAACGCUGGCGGCAUGCCUAACACAUGCAAGUCGAACGUGAAAGAGGGGCAACUCUCGAGUAAAGUGGCGGACGGGUGAGUAAUACGUAGGAAUCUGCCCUAGAGUGGGGGAUAACCUGCCGAAAGGCGGGCUAAUACCGCAUGAUCUCUAUGGAGCAAAGGUGGCUAGCAAUAGCCUUCGCUUUAGGAUGAGCCUACGUCGGAUUAGCUAGUUGGUAGGGUAAUGGCCUACCAAGGCGACAAUCCGUAGCUGGUCUGAGAGGACGAUCAGCCACACUGGAACUGAGACACGGUCCAGACUCCUACGGGUGGCAG
rnacentral:rRNA from 1 species